rnacentral:lncRNA from 1 species
CCCUGGGAUCAUGACUUGCAUUGAAGGUAGACAGUUAAUCUAUUGAGCCACCCAAGCACCCCAAAUUCCAGCUAGUUAACGUAUAGUAUAGCAUUAGUUUCAGGUGUACAGUCUAGUGAUUCAUCACUUACAUAUGACACACACUGCUCAUCACAAAUACCCUCCUUAACCUUCACCUAUUUAACCCAUACCUCACCCACCUCCCUUCCAGUAACCUUCAGUUUUUUAAGUGUCUGUUUCUUGUUAGCCUAUUUUCCCCCUCUAUGUUCAUCUGUGGUUUUUUUUUUCCUUUAAAUUCCACAUACAAGUGAACUCCUAUGGUAUUUGUCUUUCUCUGACUGACUUAUUACACUUAGCACAGCACAUGAGUUGAGAAUUGGACUGGGCUGGAUAAAGUCUGAGUCUACCAUACUGGUUGUGAGAGCAUAGCUUGGUUAUUUCAGUCCAUACUGAGCUUCAGUUUGCCAUUUGUAAAAUGCUAUAAAGUUCAUCUAACUCUUAGAACACUUGUGAGUGGGAAAUGAGGUAGUUUAGAUUAGUCUAGUCCCUGUGACGUAGCUUGUUACUCAGUUGUUAGUUAGUACUACCUCAACUAUAGUUCUCAAGGAUGUCUUCCCCUGUUCAGUGCUUUGGCUUAUUAGGUUCUCACUAAAUGCAGACUGAACACGCACCAGCUUUAUUUGUUCAUCCCACUGGGACUUAGGCAACUAUGUUUUCCUAUUCAGUGUACUUUAUUCCCAGGGGUUUGGCAGACAAUAGGUGUUCCCUGAAUUCUUGCUGAUCCAACUCCUUAAGCAUCUUGUGUCUAUAUUCACCUGGAAAAUUGUUCUAGACUUCUCUAAAGGGAUAUAUUCAGCUGCCAGUCACUUUCACUUAAACUAAAGUCAUAAAUAUGUAGAAAGAGAAUGUACACAUAGAUUCUGGAAAGAGUGAGCAUUGUGGAUUCCCUGAACACUCUCUGGGAUGCAUGACCAUGUUUUUGCUUGUUUAGUGAAAAAAUAUAACCACUGGAAGAUGCUUAUGUGUCUGUACUCUGUUGUUUGGGUAUUGAGAAAAUCUUACAUCAUACAACAUGUGAGUGAAUCUAAUGCUUGCAGAAAGCAGAGUCUCAUGGCCUUGCCUGAGCCAAGCACAGCCUGGGCUGACUUUGUCUCCAUUGUCUCUCCAUCACGUCCUUCUCCUCAAGAGUCACUUUUAGUAGACGUGGUAAACCAUGCCAAAGCAUAUGGGUGUACGAAGAGGUGGGGGGCAGGUGCUCUGUUUGGCAUCUGAACCUGCCAAAUAGGCUACACUUUGCAUUUCUGGCUCUCUUAUCCAUCCAAUUUCCAACUGUAAGAGCUGUGCAGGUUUAGGUUUUCAUCAAAGCCACAGGUACAUUGUUUUUCUGAAUUUCCAUCACUGCUACUUGAAUACAUUUUUUUUUUGGAUUCCUAUAAAAUUGAUUCCAGUGUUUAACAUCUAUUCAGACCAGAGAUUGAAUUACUCUCCUUAGACUCUGUGACUGUGUACAUAAAAAUAAUUUAUUUUCAAUACAACCUUAGAUUCUAGAUUUCUGAUUGAUUAUUCUUUGUUGUGAACCACCCCAGGAGUCAAGCCAUUUUGCCUUGAAAUAAGUCAACCUAGAUUAAUGGAGUUCUAAUCUGAAGAUAAAAGAAGUUGGUCCCCAAAUUUUCACUCACUUCCAUACACACAAAUAAUAUGACAAAUACCCACCAUUUGCUUCAACGUGGAUGGAACUGGAGGGUAUUAUGCUGAGUGAAGUAAGUCAGUCGGAGAAGGACAAACAUUAUAUGUUCUCAUUCAUGUGGGGAGUAUAAAUAAUAGUGAAAGGGAAUAUAAGGGAAGGGAGAAGAAAUGUGUGGGAAAUAUCAGAAAGGGAGACAGAACGUAAAGACUGCUAACUCUGGGAAACGAACUAGGGGUGGUAGAAGGGGAGGAGGGCGGGGGGUGGGAGUGAAUGGGUGACGGGCACUGGGGGUUAUUCUGUAUGUUAGUAAAUUGAACACCAAUAAAAAAUAAAUUAAAAAAAAUAAAAUAAAAAAUAAAAUAAAAACAACUUUAGUUCCAGCUUUUAGCAACGUAAUGCUACCAUGUAAACACUUGUCUCUUACUCAUUCAGGAGAGCAUUGGCUGCUCAUUUGCAUCUAGUUUGUUUUAAAUAUGUUGAUUACCUUACUGUGAUUCUUCUUAUCCCAGAUGGGAAGGGCUUUCUGUUUCAUUCCUAGUAAAAUAAUUUUGUGUAUAAAAAAAAAAAAAAAAAAAAA